GAUGAACGCUAGCGGGAGGCCUAACACAUGCAAGCCGAGCGGUAGAGUCUCUUCGGAGACUUGAGAGCGGCGCACGGGUGCGGAACACGUGUGCAACCUGCCUUUAUCUGGGGGAUAGCCUUUCGAAAGGAAGAUUAAUACCCCAUAAUAUACUGGAUGGCAUCAUCUGGUAUUGAAAACUCUGGUGGAUAGAGAUGGGCACGCGCAAGAUUAGAUAGUUGGUGAGGUAACGGCUCACCAAGUCAGCGAUCUUUAGGGGGCCUGAGAGGGUGAUCCCCCACACUGGUACUGAGACACGGACCAGACUCCUACGGGAGGCAGCAGUGAGGAAUAUUGGACAAUGGGUGAGAGCCUGAUCCAGCCAUCCCGCGUGAAGGACGACGGCCCUAUGGGUUGUAAACUUCUUUUGUAUAGGGAUAAACCUAGAUACGUGUAUCUAGCUGAAGGUACUAUACGAAUAAGCACCGGCUAACUCCGUG
rnacentral:rRNA from 1 species